rnacentral:rRNA from 1 species
GACGAACGCUGGCGGCGUGCUUAACACAUGCAAGUCGAGCGGUAAGGCCCUUUCGGGGGUACGACGAGCGGCGAACGGGUGAGUAACACGUGGGUGGACCUGCCCUCCAGCUCUGGGAGUAAGCCCGGGGAAACCUAGGGUCGUAAUAACCGGAUAUGACUUCAUGACGCAUGUUGUGGAGUGGAAAGCCUUGUGCGGCUGAGGAUGGGCCCGCGGCCUAUCAGC